rfam:Clostridium caminithermale DSM 15212 genome assembly, contig: EJ27DRAFT_scaffold00006.6
UUCUUAUCCAGAGUGACUGAGGGAACUGGCCCUAUGAAGUCCGGCAACCAGUACAUUUUGUACAAUGGUGCUAAUUCCAGCGGUGUUAUACCGGCAGAUGAGAA